GGAUGUGAGGGUGAUCUGGCUGCGACAUCUGUCACUGCACUGAUUCCCAGGGUUGAUUUUGCUGAUCUGGCUGGCUGGCUGGGUGUCCCCUUUCUCCUUCACCAUCCCAUUUGCAUCCCUCCUGAAGCGGCACGGUUGGUAAAAGAGGAUGACCUUCUUCAGUAUAGAAGGUCCAUUCUUUGGUCAAGGGUAUAUAAGUAGCCGUGCUCCCCUUCUAGAACCUCCAAAAAACCUCUCAAGGUUCAUUUGUAGGAGAACAUAGGCUAGUUCUUAUAGCACAUCCAAAUGAGGCACUGCCUUUGGCACUCUGCCUUUCAAA
rfam:Canis lupus familiaris chromosome 18, whole genome shotgun sequence.